rnacentral:rRNA from 1 species
AGAGUUUGAUCCUGGCUCAGAUUGAACGCUGGCGGCAGGCCUAACACAUGCAAGUCGAGCGGUAGCACAGAGAGCUUGCUCUCGGGUGACGAGCGGCGGACGGGUGAGUAAUGUCUGGGAAACUGCCUGAUGGAGGGGGAUAACUACUGGAAACGGUAGCUAAUACCGCAUAAUGUCGCAAGACCAAAGUGGGGGACCUUCGGGCCUCAUGCCAUCAGAUGUGCCCAGAUGGGAUUAGCUAGUAGGUGGGGUAACGGCUCACCUAGGCGACGAUCCCUAGCUGGUCUGAGAGGAUGACCAGCCACACUGGAACUGAGACACGGUCCAGACUCCUACGGGAGGCAGCAGUGGGGAAUAUUGCACAAUGGGCGCAAGCCUGAUGCAGCCAUGCCGCGUGUGUGAAGAAGGCCUUCGGGUUGUAAAGCACUUUCAGCGGGGAGGAAGGCGAUAAGGUUAAUAACCUUGUCGAUUGACGUUACCCGCAGAAGAAGCACCGGCUAACUCCGUGCCAGCAGCCGCGGUAAUACGGAGGGUGCAAGCGUUAAUCGGAAUUACUGGGCGUAAAGCGCACGCAGGCGGUCUGUCAAGUCGGAUGUGAAAUCACCGGGCUUAACCUGGGAACUGCAUUCGAAACUGGCAGGCUAGAGUCUUGUAGAGGGGGGUAGAAUUCCAGGUGUAGCGGUGAAAUGCGUAGAGAUCUGGAGGAAUACCGGUGGCGAAGGCGGCCCCCUGGACAAAGACUGACGCUCAGGUGCGAAAGCGUGGGGAGCAAACAGGAUUAGAUACCCUGGUAGUCCACGCCGUAAACGAUGUCGAUUUGGAGGUUGUGCCCUUGAGGCGUGGCUUCCGGAGCUAACGCGUUAAAUCGACCGCCUGGGGAGUACGGCCGCAAGGUUAAAACUCAAAUGAAUUGACGGGGGCCCGCACAAGCGGUGGAGCAUGUGGUUUAAUUCGAUGCAACGCGAAGAACCUUACCUGGUCUUGACAUCCACAGAACUUUCCAGAGAUGGAUUGGUGCCUUCGGGAACUGUGAGACAGGUGCUGCAUGGCUGUCGUCAGCUCGUGUUGUGAAAUGUUGGGUUAAGUCCCGCAACGAGCGCAACCCUUAUCCUUUGUUGCCAGCGGUUAGGCCGGGAACUCAAAGGAGACUGCCAGUGAUAAACUGGAGGAAGGUGGGGAUGACGUCAAGUCAUCAUGGCCCUUACGACCAGGGCUACACACGUGCUACAAUGGCAUAUACAAAGAGAAGCGACCUCGCGAGAGCAAGCGGACCUCAUAAAGUAUGUCGUAGUCCGGAUUGGAGUCUGCAACUCGACUCCAUGAAGUCGGAAUCGCUAGUAAUCGUAGAUCAGAAUGCUACGGUGAAUACGUUCCCGGGCCUUGCACACACCGCCC